AUUCCAGCUCCAAUAGCGUAUAUUAAAGUUGUUGUGGUUAAAAAGCUCGUAGUUGGAUCUCGGCGGUCUGAGGGCGGUUCGCUUCAGAGCGCUACUGCCCUAUAGACCGUAGUUUUGCCAGAGGUCUCAGGGUGCUCUUAACCGAGUGUCUUGCGAUGCUGGCAGGUUUACUUUGAAAAAAUUAGAGUGCUCAAAGCAGGCUUUUACGCCUGAAUAUUCGUGCAUGGAAUAAUAGAAUAGGAAGUCGUUUCUAUUUUGUUGGUUUUCGGAAAUCGACUUAAUGAUUAAUAGGGACAGUCGGGGGUAUUUGUAUUCCAUAGUCAGAGGUGAAAUUCUUGGAUUUAUGAAGACAAACUAAUGCGAAAGCAUCUACCAAGGAUGUUUUCAUUG
rnacentral:rRNA from 1 species